rnacentral:misc_RNA from 1 species
AGGAAGAAGCCUUGGACUUCUCAUUCUACAUCUUUCUUCUUCUCUCAAGCUGUUCAUGGAGUCCCCUCUGAAUCUCAAGUUGCAGUUCGAAAGCUCCCCUACUACACGGUAUCCUCGAGUCGUGGGAUGAGUAUGCGAUCUGCAACUUAAUAAGGAUACAUAAAAAUAGGUUUAAUUAGUAAAUUAAUUUAAUUUGCAGUGUGUCAAUUAUAUUUAUUUAAUAUGUAAAUUACAUUUAUAUGGUAUAGUUUAUUUUUUAAUUUUAUUUAAUAUAAUA